rnacentral:Y_RNA from 1 species
GGUUGGUCUGAGUGCAGUGGUGUUUGCAAUGAACGAAUCACAACCAGUUUCUUUGCUCCUUUUCCACUCCUACUGUUCACUUGACUAGCUUUAA